CUUCCUAUUAUUACUCUUGCGUAAUACAGGGAAUUUAAUCCAACAUCGAGGUCACAAACACGUUUAUCAAUUUGAACUUUCAAAACAUAUCACGCUGUUAUCCCUAAAGUAACUUAUUUAAAUUUCAAAAUUUUUGGGUAUUAAAAAUAAUAUUAUUUUUAAUAUUUAAAAGUGUUUUUCUUUCUGCCGCCCCAGCAAAACAUAUUCUCAAUUUAUUAAAUUUUCUUAUGUAAAGUUUUAUAGGGUCUUCUUGUCUAAAAGAGACAUUUUAGCCUUCUUACUAAAAGGUGAAAUUUGAAAUUAAUAGUUAAGAAAGAAAUUUUCUAGUUUACCCUUUCAUUCCAGUCUUAAAUUACAAGACUA
rnacentral:rRNA from 1 species